rnacentral:rRNA from 2 species
GACUCUCGGCAACGGAUAUCUCGGCUCUCGCAUCGAUGAAGAACGUAGAAAAAUGUGAUACUUGGUGUGAAUUGCGGAAUCCCGUGAACCAUCGAGUCUUUGAACGCAAGUUGCGCCCCAAGCCUUCUGGCCGAGGGCACGUCUGCCUGGGUGUCA